GAUGAACGCUAGCGGCAGGCUUAACACAUGCAAGUCGAGGGACGGUAGCAAUACUGGACCGGCAAACGGGUGCGGAACACGUACGCAACUUACCCCAAACAGGUGAAUAGCCUUCGGAAACGAAGAUUAAUACACCGUAAGAUAUAGGAGUGGCAUCAUUUUUAUAUAAUAGCUCAGGCGGUUUGGGAUGGGCGUGCGCCUGAUUAGGUAGUUGGUGGGGUAACGGCUCACCAAGCCAACGAUCAGUAACUGGUGUGAGAGCACGACCAGUCACACGGGCACUGAGACACGGGCCCGACUCCUACGGGAGGCAGCAGUGAGGAAUAUUGGACAAUGGACGCAAGUCUGACCCAGCCAUGCCGCGUGAAGGAUGAAGGCGUUCUGCGUUGUAAACUUCUUUUAUCUGGGAAGAAACCUACGAUUUCUAUUGUAGCUGACGGUACCAGAGGAAUAAGCACCGGCUAACUCCGUGCCAGCAGCCGCGGUAAUGUAUCGUAC
rnacentral:rRNA from 1 species